ACGGGGUGCAGCAGGCGCGAAACCUCAGCAAUGCACGAAAGUGUGACUGGGGGACUCCAAGUGAUGACUCACGUCAUCUUUUCUGAAGUCUAAAACGCUUCAGGAAUAAGAACUGGGCAAGACCCGUGCCAGCCGCCGCGGUAAUACGGGCAGUUCGAGUUGCGCUCACGUAUAUUGGGCCUAAAGCGUUCGUAGCCUGUCUUAUAAGUCUUUGGUUAAAUCUCACGACUUAAUCGUGAAACUGCUAAAGAUACUGUAAGACUUGGAGCCGGGAGGGGUCAGAGGUAUUCUGGGGGUAGGUGUGAAAUCUUGUAAUCCCUGGAGGACCACCGGCAGCGAAGGCGCCACUCUGGAACGGGUCUGACGAUGAGGUACGAGAGCUAGGGGAGCGAACAGGAUUAGAUACCCUGGUAGUCCUAGCUGUAAACGAUGCGGAUUUAGUGUUCCCUGAACCUCGUGUUCGGGGAGUGCUGGAGGAAACCGUUAAAUCCGCCACCUGGGAGUACGUCGCAAGGC
rnacentral:rRNA from 1 species